rnacentral:misc_RNA from 1 species
GAUGAAGAACGUAGCGAAAUGCGAUAAGUAGUGUGAAUUGCAGACUAGAGUGAAUCAUCGAGUUUUUGAACGCAUGUUGCGCUCUCUGGUAUUCCGGGGAGCAUACUUGACUGAGGGUCGGUAAAACAAAUCUCCGGAUUUCGUCCGGUGGUCGAUGGGUGUCAAUCCGGGUAGCCCCUUUGGGGAUCAAACCGGUCACCUGAAAUAAUAGGCUCCGCCCCGUUUAGCGGACUCGUGUAGUAACGCUUUUCUAGUAAACGACUUCACGAAAGGCGACGAAAGUGAAAGCCACGUUUUGGUUUUCAAUUGCAAAGCCAAAUGCGUCUUUCGGCGCACUCUUUUAUCCUGACCUCAGAUCAAGCAAGACCACCCGCUGAACUUAAGCAUAUCAAUAAGCGGAGGAA